rnacentral:misc_RNA from 1 species
AUUGAAUUUAGAAUUUUUUUAAGUCAGUCCUCAACUUUUAUGUUUUUGAUCCAAUUACAAAACAAAUCAACCAAAUUAUAAUUGAAUGAAAUAGCCUAACACAACCCUUAAAUUAGCAUGCUGCUUGUUGGCUUCCAAUACAAUCAGGACUAAACUGAUACAGUUUAAAAGUUUAGGUACUUAGAUAGAGAAAGAUAAAUGUUGGAGGAUUCAAUUGAAGACUUGUUAAAAGCUCUAGGAUUACCUGUCAUUAUCUCAAUUAUUAUCAUGUUUUCAACAAGCAAAAAGUAAAAGUAUA